AUUCAAUUUGUUAUGCUGCAUAUGCAUUGUGCUAAAUGCCUUGGGACAUAGCAGCGGACAAGCAAAAAUUCCAUCUUUACGAAGCUUACAUUUUAGUGGAUGUCAUUUUCGCUAGUAAGUCUUGCCACCAUGACAUAUAUGCCUUUGUAUUUAUUUAAUUCAGCUCACGCUUAGUCAUAAUAAUAAUUUGUUGAGUGUUGAAACUUGUUUCUCGUCUUCAGGCACAUAAUAGGUGGCAGCUGAUACAGAACAGAUAAACUCAAGUGUUCAACCACUAGAUUGGCAAGAAGCUUAUUAUUAUACUCUUGGAAGUUCCCUCUCCUUUCUGGGUCAUUCAUGAGCCCUUUGAAAGGUUUGCCGUCUAAAAGGAAAUUUCUCCAAACUUCCAUUUUCAGGUCAGAGACACUUUCUUGUAUUGAUAUAUGAAAUGGAGUCAUGGAGUCCUACUCAAGCUGGUAACACCUGUCUUUAACCUAAAAAUAUAAAGUUAACCCAACUUUACUUGGGAGUGCAUAAGUGGGAAUUCAGACUGGUCCUUUGUGCCUUAGACCUACAGCUUCUGCUUGGAGGGAUUUGUGAUGGAGAAAAACGUGUGGAUGCUUGGACAGGACCUCAUCGUUGGCCUUUGGAAUGAGAGGCCUGGUAUAUCAGGAGUGGCCCACAGCUACAUUUGUGCUCUGACACGUUGGGAAGCCCCCAUGAUCUGUUCAGAAGAGAGCUAUUCACAGCUCAUUGCCAGGAAGGGGACCUAUGUGAGCAAAGGGGUCAAGUCCAGUCAGCUGGAACUAAGUGAGGUAGGAUCUCAUUACUAAACCAGUGAUUGGUAGCUCUUGGGCAAGAGGCUGAUGUGUGGAAAGUAAUGUUUGGGGCCAGAUUAACUUGUCAAGUCUGUGGGACAUAGAAGAGCAGAGAACGUCUGGGAAGUUGGUAAAACUGGGAUUUUGUUCAGGUAUCUCAGUGAGGUCUGCCAUUCAUGCCUUUGCUCAUUCAUUCAGCAAAUGUUUGUUGAGUAGUUGCUAUUUGGA
rnacentral:lncRNA from 1 species